GGCUCCUUCUGGGGGAGGGCGCCUCUCCUCCCCCGCCCCCGGUCUGCGCCCACCGUGGCCUUUAACUCCCCCCUUCCUCCGUUACCGUCUCCCUCCUUCCCACCUCCCCCACCCGCUGCUCAUCAACACGAAUUCGAUUUGAUUUCGAUUGAUUGAUUGCAACUUUGCUGCGAGGAGGGGGGGAACAGGAGGUCUUCGCUAAGUUCCUGGUUGUUUGUUCUUCGAUUUGAGAGUCGCGGACUCCUUGGAUUUCCUCUAGGGGGGGAAAGGACCCUAUCUUCUCUCAGCCGUGGAAUGGACGCGAGGGAGGUGUGAAGCCUGGUUGUUAACUGAUGCUCGUGGAGAGAUUUGGGGGAGAGGAGCGCGCGGUGAGGAGGCGGUGGAGGCGGAAGCGCCGAAGGGUUGGACACCAGCGCAGCGACGGACGACGCGCAGUCGGCGGGGGACGAGGCCUCGAAGAAGGCUGCUCCGCCACUGACGGCCGCCGACGCUGCCGCCAUGGGGGAGUCGCUGCUCACCGCGCUCUCCAUGGAUACCGCCACGGCCCACCAUCCGCACCAGGGCCCCUCCACCUUCCUCUCCAUGGACACCGCCUCCCACGACGAUUUCGACCUCUUCCUCCCGCCGCCGGGGCCCUUCCAACGCUGCCUCCAUGCCGCGGCGGCCGCCCCCCCUGACAUCAACCUCCCCCUCGCCGCUGACCCCUCCCCUCCCCCUCCCGCCCUGCAGACAAACACUCUCCAUGAAUCCAACGUAGACAUGCUAGAUGUCGGCCUCGGCUGCCCGCAGCUCUAUGACUCAGACUCGCCUGCUGCUGCUGGGGUGGCCUCUGCCCCAGUAUCCACAAUGACAAUUGUCCCUGUGUCUCACACAAAGAGCUCCGGUUCCAGCGCCGCACGCAAGUGCGUGAAGCGGAACGAUAGCAUCUGGGGUGCAUGGUUCUUCUUCACCCACUACUUCAAGCCGGUCAUGUCGGCUGAUAAGGGUGGCAAGUCAAAGGCAGCCACGGCCGGUGUGAAUGGUAAUAAUGCCACGCUGGAUGCUUUCCUGGUUCAGCACGACAUGGAGAACAUGUACAUGUGGGUGUUUAAGGACCGGCCAGAGAAUGCCCUGGGGAAGAUGCAGCUGAGGAGCUUCAUGAAUGGUCACUCACGCCUUGGUGAGCCGCAGUUUCCUUUCAGCGCAGACAAAGGGUUUGUGCGCUCACACCGGAUGCAACGUAAGCAUUAUCGUGGGCUGUCAAACCCCCAGUGCCUUCAUGGGAUUGAGAUUGUGCGGACACCGAAUCUGGUGGGUGUGCCUGAGGCCGAUCUGAAGAGGUGGUUUGAGCUCACCGGGAGGGAUGCCAAUUUCUCGAUCCCCACUGAGGCGGGUGAUUUUGAGUCAUGGAGGAAUCUUCCGAGCACAGAAUUUGAGCUCGAGAGGCCAGCAACUGCUGCUCCAGCAAAGAGCACCGCACAUGGCCAUCACAAGAAGUUGCUGAAUGGUUCUGGUCUUAACCUGUCAACACAUGCAUCGAAGCAUGGUUCUGGGGAUGGUUUGGACAUCUCAGCUGUGUGCCAUAAACGCCGAAAGGAUUCCUCCCCCUCUGCCAUGGAAGAGGACUGCAGCAAUUCAAAUUCAGACAAGUUGCAGGACAUGGAUGUAAGCCACAGCUUUGAGCCAUCAUGGAUGAAUGACUUCUCUGGUGUAAUGCGCCAUGCUUCUGGGCCAGUAACUGCUGCAAAAACAAUAUAUGAAGAUAGCAAGGGCUACUUGAUCAUCAUUAGUCUGCCAUUUGCUGAUAUACAAAAGGUGAAGGUUACAUGGAAGAACACUCCCACAAAUGGGAUCGUUAAGAUAUCAUGCACUAGUGUUGGUCGGAUGCCAGUCCUGAAGCGGCAUGAUCGGACCUUCAAGUUGGCGGAUUCUUCCCCUGAGCAUUGUUCACCAGGAGAUUUUAUUAGGGAAGUUACAUUGCCUACCCGGAUUCCAGAAGAUGCUACUUUGGAAGCAUACUGUGAUGAAACAGGAACAGGUCUAGAAAUUAUUGUUCCUAAAUACCGUGUUGGUCCUGAAGAACAUGAAGUUCAUGUGUCUCUGAGGCCCCCCUCAUCAUGGUGUCAAUGAAAUACAACUUCAAGUUUGCGAGGGGACUUGCUGCGGAUGUUACCAUGCAACAAUGCAGUUCAGUUUUGCUAAUUGUGAUGGAAACAAUCCUAAUCAGUUGAAGCAUUCUGGUAAUUGGGAGUUGAUAACUGCAGCACUUCAAACAUUUUAGGAACAUGCUAUAGGUCACAAGGGACAUUUCUGGAUUACUUGCUUUGUGUCUCAUUAUCUUUACCGUGGAAUACAUUAUGUAUUACCGUUUACUUUUGUCAAAGUUUUCUUUGUAUGAAAGGCUUGCCGCUUGUUUGGUGUGCUUCCAUAUGUGCAUUACUGCGGUGAACUGUAUAGGCACUUAUAGUCAAUUUCCAUAGGGGCGAGAAGUAAGUUUGUGGGCAUUCUUGGAAACUUUAUCUCAUUUGUUUGAUGGGAACUAGGAAAGGAGUUGACAGUGGGUUUGUUGAUGUUUUAGGGAACUAGUCUUUUGUUAGCAUUUGAACGUUUUCCAGGAAUUACUGGAAGGCAAGUGUAAUUGAUUGAAGCUACCAAUGUAAUCUAUCUGUUAUCAAAUAUCAACAUAGACUAGUGUUAUCAGUUAUGACUUA